CGCAGCGCCCCGGUCUUCUCCCGGAACGAGCCGCCGCUCUGGCGGUAGCCGUGCACGCACAGGACCCGCAGCGGUGCCAUGGCCACGGUAACCCUGGAAACGGCGGCCGGAACAACGCUUCCGGAGCCGCGCACACGAUGGAGCAACAGCGGCUGUAACUGCUGAGGAUAGAUGCUGAAGUCCUGCAGAGUGCUGCAGGAUCGGCUGCAGACCAACACCGACAUCCAGGUUAAAUCUCCCAGCCAGAGCCCAGAGCCAAAGCAGCGGGGAAGUCAUAUUCAGAGGUCAAAAUGGCCUUCAAGUUGUAUCCUACAGCAGAUGAACUGUACUGCUGUCAUCUACAAUGAGCUUAUUAGAGACACUGUCAUUCUGCCGUGUGAUCCUUGAAGUCUAUGGGCACUUAAAAGAGGACACAGAAGAGUAUGACGAAUGUGCUGUCUUCACUGGAUGCUCACUGGAACUGGCAAAGUAGGCCAUACGCAAUGUAGAUGGAUGGCACUAAAAAGGAUCUUUGUGCUUACACAAAGUGUUUAUGUUCAAGUGUACCCUUCUUUUCAGGGAGACACCACUAUUCUGAUGAAGACAAGCGUAAAGGGCAAAAGCACCGCGAUAAGAGGCUGUUUUGUUGUUGUAAUCUUGACAGCUGACAGAUGUUAUCAUGGAAUAGGACACGGAUAACAGAUGAGGCUGCAGAAGUUGCAGGCCUGUCAUGUUGUGUAGCUUAAAAUGUCAGCUACUCCAUGCGUGGCGCUAUUAUCGUUCUUUUGUAAAAUAAUGUCGAAGACAUCUUCCUGAUGCAGCAACUAUUCAUGCAUCCAUUGGAUGCAAAUCUUUCCUUCCCUUCAUUUCCUGGAGCAUUUAAUAAUUGUCAUGUGGCUGCAGAAUCCUGCCUCCACAACCCUUAUUUCCACGUUUUUUGUUCAAAAGAAGCACGUUUUUGGCUCAUGGCUAAAUGAAAUCAAGUUAUGUUUAAUUAAUACUGUCACACGAAACAGUGACGCACACGUGCAAGACCAUGUUUGAGAAAAAUGCAAAGUGAUGUCAAUGAAAUCUAUGAGCCUCUGACUCCAAAUCCAAUGUAGUUACUCAAAUUCCUUUAUUUGUCACCGUUGAGUAGAGCAGAGAGUGAACAGGCUUUCUCUGUGCUCUUACAAGGUGAUGCUUGAGUUUACCCUCUGACCAUUUCCUCUUAGCAGCCUUGAAAUAUAAGAGCUCGUCUUUAUUUGAAGUGGUAGACACUGACUGACUCAUACAGGAAUGAAACCCCAAAUGCUUCUAAACUCACUGCAACUGAAGAACUCCGAGGACAAGCACUGAUCUUUUCAAUCAGUUUUUGGAGUAAAAGCAAAAUGACUAAAGGUUCUAAUUUAAUUAAUGUUGAAAAUUCUCGUGGCUCGGGGUCCUCAACGAUGAAGUCGCUGAAUCUGCAGUUAAUCAUGUUAAUUUAUGUGUGCUUCUUUCAUGUACCCUUUAAACGAUUCUCUUUCUAAAUACUGCACACUGUUGUAUGU